AUUGAACGCUGGCGGCAGGCCUAACACAUGCAAGUCGAGCGAGCGGCGGACGGGUGAGUAAUGUCUGGGAAACUGCCUGAUGGAGGGGGAUAACUUCUGGAAACGGUAGCUAAUUCCGCAUACCAUCAGAUGUUCCCAGAUGGCAUUAGCUGGUAGGGGAGGUAACGGCUCACCUAGGCGACGAUCCCUAGCUGGUCUGAGAGGACGACCGGCCACACUGGAACUGAGACACGGUCCAGACUCCUACGGGAGGCAGCAGUGGGGAAUCUUGCACAAUGGGCGCAAGCCUGAUGCAGCAAUGCCGCGUGUGUGAAGAAGGCCUUCGGGUUGUAAAGCACUUUCAGCGGGGAGGCGUUACCCGCAGAAGAAGCACCGGCUAACUCCGUGCCAGCAGCCGCGGUAAUAC
rnacentral:rRNA from 1 species